CGUCACCAGCCCCAGCUCCCUGUCAGUUAUGUGCACGUAAAAAAAUGACUUUUGCCACUUGAUGCUUAUACUGACACCGGCAAUGAGAUGAUUCACCGCCUGCAAGAAUUAGGGGCUGACAAAAUGAGAAAAACAGGUUCUCAAAUCUUGCACAGUACGCCCACGGUCCUGAUCCGAGAUCACAAUGUCAGUUUUUGUUCAGUAUGACCACGGUACAGAUCAGAGAUCAAGAGUUGUAAAAGUUAGCAGUAGAAAUUGAAAAGGUUAGAAUACAUAAACGCCCGACCUGAAAUUGCAACCGCCGGUCCAGAUAGUGUCCGGCGGCGAUUGGAUCCGCUGACCAGCGACGGAUCCGCUGAACAAAUAUCUUUGCACUCGGACGGCGGCGUCGCCGGUUUUAACAGGCCGUGAAGGAGGUCUACGGUUUCAGCGCUCGUGA